rnacentral:rRNA from 1 species
AUGGUGCUAUAUCAUUUGAUUCUAAUAGAGCCGGUGCAGGUGGAGUGGCUCGAUCUAGUGCUGCUCUUAUGGGUGCAUGGCGCAAACCAUAUGUGGGUAUCAGUGAUCCUCUCAUCGCUGAAGCAAAGGCGCUGUGUGAUGGUGUCAUCUUUGCCAAACUUCAUGGAUACAAAGCAUGCGAUAAUGGAGGUGGACUGCUGGAACACUCGCCACAGUUCUCGAGUCGAUUGUGGCUCCUAUCUUGUUGAAAUUGGAGAGCUAGUUCAUGAUUUUUCUUUUUUUGUAAUCCAGCAUGUAAAUCGAUCAGCUAAGGUACCAGCACAUCUUUGA